GUCGAACGGCAGCACAGGGAGCUUGCUCCCGGGUGGCGAGUGGCGCACGGGUGAGUAAUACAUCGGAACGUGUCCUGUUGUGGGGGAUAACUGCUCGAAAGGGUGGCUAAUACCGCAUGAGACCUGAGGGUGAAAGCGGGGGAUCGCAAGACCUCGCGCAAUUGGAGCGGCCGAUGCCCGAUUAGCUAGUUGGUGAGGUAAAGGCUCACCAAGGCGACGAUCGGUAGCUGGUCUGAGAGGACGACCAGCCACACUGGGACUGAGACACGGCCCAGACUCCUACGGGAGGCAGCAGUGGGGAAUUUUGGACAAUGGGGGCAACCCUGAUCCAGCCAUGCCGCGUGCAGGAUGAAGGCCUUCGGGUUGUAAACUGCUUUUGUCAGGGACGAAAAGGACCGUGUUAAUACCAUGGUCUGCUGACGGUACCUGAAGAAUAAGCACCGGCUAACUACGUGCCAGCAGCCGCGGUAAUACGUAGGGUGCAAGCGUUAAUCGGAAUUACUGGGCGUAAAGCGUGCGCAGGCGGUUCUGUAAGACAGAUGUGAAAUCCCCGGGCUUAACCUGGGAAUUGCAUUUGUGACUGCAGGACUAGAGUUCAUCAGAGGGGGGUGGAAUUCCAAGUGUAGCAGUGAAAUGCGUAGAUAUUUGGAAGAACACCAAUGGCGAAGGCAGCCCCCUGGGAUGCGACUGACGCUCAUGCACGANAGCGUGAGGAGCAAACAGGAUUAGANACCCUGGUAGUCCACGCCCU
rnacentral:rRNA from 1 species